GAGAAGAAGAGGGAGGGCUCUGAGCAUCUCUUAAAGAUACAAAACCAGCUCCGUGGCCGCAUUCUCUCCAGGACGUGCUGCAGCCUCCCCAAGACCUAGCCUUUUCCUCAGAUAAUCAGCAACCCCAAGGCAGCAGAAGACAAUAGCCUGGAGCUGACAAAUGGUCACACUGCCCUACCUCUGGAAGGCUAAAGAUAACAUCUUGACCUCAGUUAUGCUUCAGUUCCUGAGCCCUGUGGUGGGCCCACCACUUUCCCAUGAAACCAGACAGAGGAUGCCAGAACAGACCUCAGAGCUACCCUCCAGACCUGAAGAAGUGAAAUCCUGAAGAAAUGAUUUAGCACCCUUACCUCACCUAUGACAAAUCAGCUCCCAUCACGACCUGGAACCUCUA